rnacentral:rRNA from 1 species
UACGAAGGGGGCUAGCGUUGUUCGGAAUCACUGGGCGUAAAGGGCGCGUAGGCGGCUUUGUAAGUCGGGGGUGAAAGCCUGUGGCUCAACCACAGAAUUGCCUUCGAUACUGCAUGGCUUGAGACCGGAAGAGGUAAGUGGAACUGCGAGUGUAGAGGUGAAAUUCGUAGAUAUUCGCAAGAACACCAGUGGCGAAGGCGGCUUACUGGUCCAUUACUGACGCUGAGGUGCGAAAGCGUGGGGAGCAAACAGG